AAACCAACAGGGAUUGCCUUAGUAGCGGCGAGUGAAGCGGCAAAAGCUCAAAUUUGAAAUCUGGCACUUUCAGUGUCCGAGUUGUAAUUUGAAGAAGGUAUCUUUGGGUCUGGCUCUUGUCUAUGUUUCUUGGAACAGAACGUCACAGAGGGUGAGAAUCCCGUGCGAUGAGAUGUCCCAGACCUAUGUAAAGUUCCUUCGAAGAGUCGAGUUGUUUGGGAAUGCAGCUCUAAGUGGGUGGUAAAUUCCAUCUAAAGCUAAAUAUUGGCGAGAGACCGAUAGCGAACAAGUACAGUGAUGGAAAGAUGAAAAGAACUUUGAAAAGAGAGUGAAAAAGUACGUGAAAUUGUUGAAAGGGAAGGGCUUGAGAUCAGACUUGGUAUUUUGUAUGUUACUCUCUCGGGGGUGGCCUCUACAGUUUACCGGGCCAGCAUCAGUUUGAGCGGUAGGAUAAGUGCAAAGAAAUGUGGCACUGCUUCGGUAGUGUGUUAUAGUCUUUGUCGAUACUGCCAGCUUAGACUGAGGACUGCGGCUUCGGCCUAGGAUGUUGGCAUAAUGAUCUUAAGUCGCCCGUCUUGAACCACGGACCA
rnacentral:rRNA from 1 species